rnacentral:rRNA from 1 species
GACGAACGCUGGCGGCGUGCUUAACACAUGCAAGUCGAGGGCGGGGAGCAAUCCCCGACCGGCGAACGGGUGCGUAACACGUGAGCGACCUACCUUGUGGCGGGGGAUAGCCGGCCCAACGGCCGGGUAAUACCGCAUACGCUCUGUUGGGGGCAUUCCUGGCAGAGGAAACUUUCGAGGCCACUAGAGGGGCUCGCGGCCUAUCAGCUAGUUGGCGGGGUAAUGGCCCACCAAGGCAGUGACGGGUAGCUGGUCUGAGAGGAUGGCCAGCCACAUUGGGACUGAGAGACGGCCCAGACUCCUACGGGAGGCAGCAGUGGGGAAUCUUGCGCAAUGGCCUAACGGCCUGACGCAGCGACGCCGCGUGGGGGAGGAAGGGCUUCGGCUCGUAAACCCCUGUUGCCCGGGGCGAACAGCUUCUUUCGAGGAGCCUGACGGUACCGGGUGAGGAAGCACCGGCUAACUCCGUGCCAGCAGCCGCGGUAAUACGGAGGGUGCGAGCGUUGUCCGGAAUCACU